ensembl:lncRNA
GUGGGUUCCUCUCCUUGUUCGGGCGGCACUCGGAGGUAGGCGUUGCACGACUUCAGCUCCUUGUUCGGGCGGUGCUCGGAGGUAGGCGUCGCCGGUCUACUAGCCAUCGCCGAUCCACUUUUCAUUUUCCUUUUGUUUUGUCUUUGUUUCUACACACCUGUUUUUCAUUCCCCUAAUUAUUGUUCAUGUAUUUAACCCUCUGUUUCCCCCAUGGCGUUGUGCGGGAUUGUUUUAUGUCAUGUUCGGUAAUGUCGGUGACUGGUUAUUUCGACAGGUGCUGUUUCUUGCACGUGUGUAAACGUUGAUGUUCGUGUAUUUGUGUCUGGGCAAGUGUAGUGUUUUACCUUGCACCAUUCAUUAUUCUGAGUAAAGUUACGUUGCUCCCAGUUCUCUGCUCUCCUGCUCCUGACUGCAUACACCAGCUACACCCACCAUUCUGACAGAAUCCCGCAACAGUUGAGGAUAUGGAGUCAGCAGGAGCAGACAACCCAGUAUUAAGGGUCGAGGAGCGCGUCCAGCAGCAUGCGGCCAUGCUGCAACAUCUCGGCACCGGCAUGGAUCGCGUCCUGCAGACGAUGGAUUGCUGGGAGAGAAGAGGAGUGCCUCCAACGCCUCCAACGACACCACCAAUGGCACCACUACCCACCGCUCCUUCACCUGGUCCCAGUGGGAUCCGGCUCGCUCUUCUGAGGGAGUAUGAUGGGACGGCUUCGGGAUGUCAGGGGCUCCCUCGGGCCGAGAGCGUGUCCACCCUGGUCUCCUGCAUCAGGGAAAGCCCUGGAGUGGGCCAACGCCGUUUGGGGGGAAGGAGAAGCAGUGUUGGACCAAUUUGAGGAGUUCACCCGCCGUUUCCGGGAAGUUUUCGACCACCCACCUGAGGGUAGAGCGGCGAGUGAACGGCUUUUUCACCUUAGGCAGGAGACAAGGAGCGCACAGGAGUUUGCGUUGGACUUUCUGACCCUGGCCGCCAGCACGGGAUGGAACGGCAGGGCCCUGAUCGAUCACUACCAUUGUAGUUUGCGUGAGGACGUCCGUAGGGAGUUGGCCUGCAGGGAAACCACACUCACCUUUGACCAGCUGGUGGACAUGUCCAUCCGGUCGGAUAACCUGCUGGCUACCUGCGGACGUCCAGAUCGGUGUCUGUUGGUUCCAUCCCCCAGCACCACCGCUACAACGCCCAUGAAGCUGCACUUAGGGCGACCGGAGGAGGGGCCGUUCCAAGCACCAUCUGUGGCCGCAGAGGGCACACUGCCGGUCGGUGCUGGGGAGGUUCCUCUAGGAGUCGAGGCAGCAGGCAGGGCACUAUCGUGUCACCCCAGGUGAGUCGGCACCAGGCUCACCCAGAGCCCCCUGUUGCUCACAUGUUUUUGUUGAUUAAUUUUCCUGAUUCCCCCCAUUCCCAGCAUAAGGCACUAGUAGAUUCAGGCGCAGCUGGGAAUUUUAUUGACAGAUAAUUUGCCCAUAGUUUAGGGAUUCCCAUUGUUCCUGUGGACAUGCCCUUCCCUAGAUAGUCGACCAAUAGGGCCAGGGCUAAUUAGGGAGGCCACCGCUCCACUAGACAUGGUUAUGCAGGAGGGUCACAAGGAGAGAAUCAGCCUCUUCCUUAUUGAUUCUCCUGCGUUUCCCGUGGUGCUGGGUCUACCCUGGUUGGCCUGUCAUGACCCCACUAUUUUGUGGCAACAGAGGGCUCUCACGGGGUGGCCACUAAAGUGCUCGGGGAGGGGUUUCUGUCGGUGCUACUAUGGUGGAAAGUCCAGACCAGGUCUCCACCGUGCGCAUCCCCUCUGAAUAUGCCGAUUUGGCUCUCGCCUACUACUGUCUAGUUCCUUUGUAAAUUAAAUCUGUUAUACUGUCUAGUUCCUUUGUAAAUUAAAUCUGUUAUACUGUCUAGUUCCUUUGUAAAUUACAUCUGUUAUACUGACUAGUUCCUUUGUAAAUUAAAUCUGUUAUACUGUCUAGUACCUUUGUAAAUUAAAUCUGUUAUACUGUC